GGGCAGUGCGGGUGCUAAUACAUGCAAGUCGAGCGGACGGAUGGGAGCUUGCUCCCUGAAGUCAGCGGCGGACGGGUGAGUAACACGUGGGCAACCUGCCUGUAAGACUGGGAUAACUCCGGGAAACCGGGGCUAAUACCGGAUAACUCUUUUCCUCACAUGAGGAAAAGCUGAAAGAUGGUUUCGGCUAUCACUUACAGAUGGGCCCGCGGCGCAUUAGCUAGUUGGUGAGGUAACGGCUCACCAAGGCCACGAUGCGUAGCCGACCUGAGAGGGUGAUCGGCCACACUGGGACUGAGACACGGCCCAGACUCCUACGGGAGGCAGCAGUAGGGAAUCUUCCGCAAUGGACGAAAGUCUGACGGAGCAACGCCGCGUGAGUGAUGAAGGUUUUCGGAUCGUAAAACUCUGUUGUCAGGGAAGAACAAGUACCGGAGUAACUGCCGGUACCUUGACGGUACCUGACCAGAAAGCCACGGCUAACUACGUGCCAGCAGCCGCGGUAAU
rnacentral:rRNA from 1 species